UCUGCAGCAUUGUGACAUAUGUAGGCAUAUCAUUGGAAGAUUGACCAUAAGAGACUACAUUUACCAGGUGUCUGCUCGGUGUCCUCCGUCGAAACUAUUGCGUAAUCUCCAGCCAAACAUGAUGAACAAAACGGAGCGAUUUCUCCCACACAAAUAAUCUUUUUGGAAAAACUGAACAUCUAACUGAGAAUCUCCUCAUUGAAAACAUCCGAAGUUCUUCAAAGGCCAUUUCCUCUUUGUUGCUGAGAGAAAGGGGCGAGAAGGAUUCCUUUGUUGGAACAUAGCAGUUUCACCAAAAGGCCUCUGAUGACCUCCCCCUCCUUCAUACAUGUGGGUCAUAAAGGAGGUCUGAUAAUUAUCUCCUGUCCUUUAGCAGAUCAUUCCAAGUCAUGGCAGGAUGUUGGGAAGAGCUGUUUAGUUUGUCUUUGUGAUAGGCUUGAAAUUGGUGGUGAUUACAGAAUCUGUCAAUCUUGGCACGGAAUGUCAUGGGUUAUCCACUCGGGCUUAAAGACACAACAGUUGUAAUCGCUGCCAAAGGUGAUUCUAACAUGUAUUGAAUCAGGAAUGUGAAUGCUUAUGUAAAUUUGUGUAUUUCAUUUUCAAUAAAUGUGCAAA